GAAACUCGAUGUUUACAGGCACCGAACAAUGAUGUUGACAUGACAUCAAACAAUGAUGCGGACAGACAUCAAACAAUGAUGCGGACAGACAUCAAACAAUGAUGCGGACAGACAUCAAACAAUGAUGCAGACAGACAUCAAACAAUGAUGCAGACAGACAUCAAACAAUGAUGCGGACAGACAUCAAACAAUGAUGCGGAACAGACAUCAAAACAAUGAUGCAGACAGACAUCAAACAAUGAUGCGGACAGACAUCAAACAAUGAUGC
rnacentral:lncRNA from 1 species